AUAGUCCCACAUCGGAUGGGAUACUGAUUCCGAUCAGUUUAUAUGAGACCUACACGCUAGUAAUAAUAACCCGGCUUAAGCAUUUUGGGCUGAUAGUUUGGGCUCAACGAGUUAUUGUUGCUAGCGGGUCGGGUCGUUAAAAUUGGUAUCAGAGCCGAAUACCAGCCGGAAGUGUGAGAACUAAGUGCUAUGCGGGACAAAGUGCUACACCAACGGGUUUGGUGGGAGCCACCUCUUGAACCCGUAGGAGCCACCUCUAGAAUCUCACAUCGCCUGGUAAUGGUCCUGGUUUGUCUGUCUGUGAUCUGGUUUGGACCCGACGAGGACGUCAGGGUCUAAACAGGGGGAGUUUGUAACGCUCCCAAUAGUCCCACAUCGGAUGGGAUAUUGAUUCCGAUCAGUUUAUAUGAGACCUACACGCUAGUAAUAAUAACCCGGCUUAAGCAUUUUGGGCCGAUAGUUUGGGCCCAACGAGUUAUUGUUACUAGCGGGUCGGGUCGUUAAAAUUUUUGUAACGCCCGGUUUGUUGCAAUUGGUAUCAGAGACGAAUACCAGCCGGAAGUGUGAGAACUAAGUGCUAUGCGGGACAAAGUGCUACACCAACGGGUUUGGUGGGAGCCACCUCUUGAACCCGUAGGAGCCACCUCUAGAAUCUCACAUCGCCUGGUAAUGGUCCUGGUUUGUCUGUCUGUGAUCUGGUUUGGACCCGACGAGGACGUCAGGGUCUAAACAGGGGGAGUUUGUAACGCCCCCAAUAGUCCCACAUCGGAUGGGAUACUGAUUCCGAUCAGUUUAUAUGAGACCUACACACUAGUAAUAAUAACUGGGCUUAAGCAUUUUGGGCCGGUGGUUUGGGCCCAACGAGUUAUUGUUGCUAGCGGGUCGGGUCGUUGGAAAAUCACUGAUAUAAUAUUAACACUAACAUAAAAUACC
rnacentral:lncRNA from 1 species